CUCACUCUCUCUCUCUCUUUCUGACACUCUUUUCUGGUUGCAGAUCUGUUACACCAUCACCAGGAGGCGCUCUGGCCUUUGCAAUGUAAACACCAGGGUUUUAUGCUGUUGAUCAUUAUUCACUGCUAAGUCUGGAGAUGUGGGAAGAGUGUCCACUCACAAGGAGACAAACACGAACAUAUUGAUCUUAUUUGGACAGGCUUUUGUCUGGGACACAUCCAAACCCAAACAGCCAGAGGAAGGACCACAACAGGGUCUUUCCCGUUUGUGUUCAACCGGGUGCCAGAAUGUGGCCGCGUGCUGGAAUACAUCUAGAAAUGGUGGGAAAGCGGAGGGACGCUGUGUGUGGCGAAGGCCUGCGCUCGGACUCACUGGUGCGACGUGAAGUAAUGGUUUACUAGAGUUUAGCUGACGCCUUUUUGUAUCACCCACAAACUACAGCGCGACUCUAGAUGAGAUCCCCUCUGCCUUAGAUCACUCGGCAAGCCACGCUGAGACGCAAGA